CCUGUUUAACAAAAACAUGUCUUUUUGAGUUAUUUUUAAAGUCUGACCUGCCCACUGAAAUUAUUUAAAUGGCCGCAGUAUUCUAACUGUGCAAAGGUAGCAUAAUCAUUAGUCUUUUAAUUGAAGGCUGGUAUGAACGGUUGGACGAGGUAUAAGCUGUUUCAUAUAAAUUUAUAAUAGAAUUUUAUAUUUUAGUCAAAAAGCUAAAAUUUAAUUAAAAGACGAGAAGACCCUAUAAAUCUUUAUACUUUAUGUUAUUUAAAUUUUUUAGAUUAAUUUUAUUUUUAUAAUUUAAAGUAUUUUGUUGGGGUGAUAUUAAAAUUUAAUGAACUUUUAAUUGUUAAAAAUCAUUAAUUUAUGAGUUAUUGAUCCAUUAAUAGUGAUUAUAAGAUUAAGUUACUUUAGGGAUAACAGCGUAAUUUUUUUGGAGAGUUCAUAUCGAUAAAAAAGGUUGCGACCUCGAUGUUGGAUUAAGAUAUAUUUUUAGGUGUAGCCGCUUAAAU
rnacentral:rRNA from 1 species